GACUAGCCUGGUCCNCGCGAAUGCCUCUAGAUUAAAGUUUGAUCAUGGCUCAGACCUGAACGCUGGCGGUAGGCCUAACACAUGCAAGUCGAACGGCAGCACAGGAGAGCUUGCUCUCUGGGUGGCGAGUGGCGGACGGGUGAGGAAUACAUCGGAAUCUACUCUGUCGUGGGGGAUAACGUAGGGGAACUUACGCUAAUACCGCAUACGACCUACGGGUGAAAGCAGGGGAUCUUCGGACCUUGCGCGAUUGAAUGAGCCGAUGUCGGAUUAGCUAGUUGGCGGGGUAAAGGCCCACCAAGGCGACGAUCCGUAGCUGGUCUGAGAGGAUGAUCAGCCACACUGGAACUGAGACACGGUCCAGACUCCUACGGGAGGCAGCAGUGGGGAAUAUUGGACAAUGGGCGCAAGCCUGAUCCAGCCAUACCGCGUGGGUGAAGAAGGCCUUCGGGUUGUA
rnacentral:rRNA from 1 species